rnacentral:lncRNA from 1 species
AAUUUUUUUUGCAUAAGACUGUAAUUACUAUACACAUUAUCUGUUAAGCUGUCUGUUUUGUCAUUAUUUUUACAGGCUGGAGUUUGGGCCUGGACAGAUGGGUCAGCAUUUGAUUACGCUUCUUGGACUCUUGGACAACCUUACAUUGCCUUUAAUCGGGACUGUAUCGUAUUCAAUACAGACGGUAUCCUUCCUCUCAGCAUGAAUUUCAUCACCGAUAACAAGAAUAUCAGUACAUCAGACUACUCUAAAUAUGUAACAUUAUGUUUUUUUUUCUCUCUCUUUUUUUCCUUUUUAGGAAACUGGAUUAAUCUUAAUGGUGCCAUACUGUAUCCAUCUAUCUGUGCUACAACAGUUACUACAACCACAACUGCUGUUCCCUCGACUACACUUCCUUCGACCUCUUUUCCUUCGACUGCUCUUACCUCAACUACUGAACCCCUGACUACUGUUCCCUCAACUGUUGCUCCCUUUACUACUGUUCCCUGGCUGGUGACAAAUGGUUCAACUUCACCAAGUA